rnacentral:rRNA from 1 species
ACAGAGGGUGCAAGCGUUGUUCGGAAUUAUUGGGCGUAAAGCGCGUGUAGGCGGCAAGGCAUGUCGGGUGUGAAAGCCCUCGGCUUAACCGAGGAAGUGCGCCCGAAACUACUUUGCUUGAGUACCGGAGAGGAUGGCGGAAUUCCCGGUGUAGAGGUGAAAUUCGUAGAUAUCGGGAGGAACACCAGUGGCGAAGGCGGCCAUCUGGACGGAUACUGACGCUGAGACGCGAAAGCGUGGGGAGCAAACAGGAUUAGAUACCCUGGUAGUCCACGCUGUAAACGAUGGGCGCUAGGUGUCGCGGGUGUUGACCCCUGCGGUGCCGAAGCUAACGCAUUAAGCGCCCCGCCUGGGAAGUACGGCCGCAAGGCUA